GGCAGAGGUCUGAAGACUUGAUGGACUGCCUUCAAGUCGAUCCUGACUUAUGGCUACCCUACGAAUAGGGUUUUCAUGGUGUCGGUUUCGCAGGUCCCACCUCGGAAGAAGCAGCCCAGGGUGGCAAAGUCGCCUUUGCCUACAGGUGGAAGGAAGAGGAACGUCAACCAGAGUGGCCGGACGCAGCAGAGGGCAAACUUCCUGCCCCCUUAAGUUUAGUUGCACUCAGAAUGUAUUCAGAGCCCUCCCACAACCCCCACAUCCUUUCAUUUGAGCUGUAUGUGGUUUGGACAAGGCUCUGGCUAUGGUCUGAAGGCACAUGAGGCCAGCUCCCUGCUGAAGCUAAGUAGGGUCAGGUGUGGUCAGUGCCUGGAUGGGAGACCGCGUGGGAACCAUAUGUAAGCUGCCUUGGGUUGCUAUCAUGAAAAGAAAGAAAGACCAAGAAGAGACCAGCAAAGAGAAGGCAGAAAACGUUCAUGGCGGUUGGCGUGGUUGACUGGGAUGUAGUCUACAAAGCCGAUGUACCAGACCAUGACUAGGGGCUUGUGGAUUUCACAGUCCUGCCCCGUCGCCAUUUGCCAAUCGCCAUGGGACUUUUGUUAUGGAAGACGCCUGUGCGUGAAUUUGUUUUAUGCGGGGAGAUCGGCGCACCACGAUCAAUACACAAUCUUGACAGAAAAAGGCUUUGAUCCAAUGGCAUGGGUACCAUGACGAUUGGAAGUCCUUUAUCUGCUGCAGCCUUCAUCCGCCUUCACAGCCGUUGUAACACACAUUGUUAUCCUCCGCCUGUUCUGCCGUUGAGGACUUUCUUGGAUCGUUCUUUGGUUCCUCUCCCUUGACCUUACGUUGCAUUAUCUGCCAGUACUUUAUGAUUUGACAUGGACUUUAAUGGGGCAAGAAAGCCUUAAGAACUUUUGAACUCCUGCUCAGAGCUUCACCAAACCAGUGCAGGCUGGUCUUCCUACACAAAGCUAUAGAAACUGCAUAUUAGAGCAAAAAAGACACCUUUGUCAGCCAGAGGCUCAAGCGCUUCUGCAAGAUUGUGCCAUCACCCUCCCUCCUCUUACAUCUGAAAAUCAAAGAGCCCUGUACAAAGUACAUGGCUUUUUGCACUCUGAAACAUAAAUAAAUGAGAAAUCAUGCUUUGCUCAGGACUAGCUUGCUCAGGAUUUCUUUAGGGUGCCAGCUGCUUCUUCGGGGAGUGGAGAAGCAGUUCCUAGCAUGGUUGACAAGUCUGGAGCAAAAAAGGCAUGACUGGGAAAAAUGUUUGAUGGCUGAGGAGAGCAUUGAUUCCUGGCUUGUUUGCUUGCUUUUGCUCUGGCUCCACUGAUACUAUUACAGGGACAGUUUGCUGUGCAAAAGAGAGUCCCAGUAGCACAGGGGGAUGCCAACUGUUUUGGGGCCUGUAGCCAUGUUUGCAAACCAGAGGAACUGCAGUGGGCACAACAUGCCACGCUGUAAGCUCCUUUUGCAACCAAAUCUGCUGCCUGCCAUAGAAUGCUUGAAAUACGAGCCUAAUUUCAACAGAAUUUUUAAAAUUAGCUUUGAAAGCAUCAGUUGUGUGAGUGAUACUUUUAUUAAUCUACUUCUAUGUGCGCUCUUCAAAUGUGUAUUCUCUUUCACUGAUGUCAAUGAAGUGUUGAUUGUAACUGACAGACAGAAAGCAGCUGGGGGGAUGAGAUGUUGAUUGUAAACAGAAGGGGGAAGACACUGACUUGAUUAUCUGCCUUAAUCUGCUCUGCAAUGCACUUGAAAAUGAAAAUGAAAUGGACUGCCUUCUGUAAACAGGCAAUAAU